ensembl:snoRNA
CGUGGCCCUUAUCGGAGCUGCGGCUGUUUCCACGUAGCCACAGAGGAGCCUGGAGUGACAGGUGACCUCUGCAACAUUUUGGGAAAAUAACAGUU